rnacentral:rRNA from 1 species
GGAGAACUGCCGGUGAUAAGCCGGAGGAAGGUGUGGAUGACGUCAAGUCCUCAUGGCCCUUACGGGUUGGGCUACACACGUGCUACAAUGGUGGUGACAAUGGGCUAAUCCCAAAAAGCCAUCUCAGUUCGGAUUGGGGUCUGCAACUCGACCCCAUGAAGUCGGAAUCGCUAGUAAUCGCGUAACAGCAUGACGCGGUGAAUACGUUCCCGGGCCUU